rnacentral:rRNA from 1 species
UACGUAGGCAGCAAGCGUUGUUCGGAAUUACUGGGCGUAAAGCGUGCGCAGGCGGUUAGUGCAAGACAGAGGUGAAAUCCCCGGGCCUCAACCCUGGGAAGCUGCCCUUUGUGACUGCAUAGCUAGAGUACGGUAGAGGGGGAUGGAAUUCCGCGGUGUAGCAGUGAAAUGCGUAGAUAUGCGGAGGAACACCGAUGGCGAAGGCAAUCCCCUGGACCUGUACUGACGCUCAUGCACGAAAGCUGGGGGAGCAAACAGG